AACGCACCUUGCGCUCCUUGGUAUUCCGAGGAGCAUGCCUGUUUGAGUGUCAUUAAAUUCUCAACCUCUCUAGUUUUUUGACUAGUAGAUGGCUUGGAUGUGGGGGUUUUGUGCAGGCUUUCACAAGUCAGCUCCCCUGAAAUACAUUAGCCGGUACUUUCUGACCGUCUAUUGGUGUGAUAAUUAUCUACGCCGUGGACUAUUGGAUAAUUGUACUGCUUCUAAUCGUCUUGUAUUAGACAAUCUAUGACAUUUUGACCUCAAAUCAGGUAGGACUACCCGCUGAACUUAA
rnacentral:misc_RNA from 1 species